rnacentral:pre_miRNA from 1 species
ACACCAAUCAUCUGGAGCUCUUGUUAAAAUGCAUAUUCUGAGUCAGCAGAUUGGAGUGGGCCUGAGAUUCUGCAUUUCUGACAAGCUCUCAAGUGAUCCCUAU